UGUUUAGUCAGCGUGCUUCCCGUACCAGUUUGUGUUAGUAAUUUUGUGUCAAGCGUUCCAGGGUUUUUUACUUGUGUUAGUUAUCCUGGUUGUUUAGAUCCUCGCUCGUGUUUUUUGACCUUGCUCUUUUCAGAUUGUUUGCCUGUCUGAUUGCCUGCCUGUGUACCGGACCAGUUGUGAAAAUAGAGAUUUUUGAUUUUCCUUUGAACCUGUCUCCAGAGUCCAGCACUUGAGUCCUCAUCUCUGCACACCAGUCUUGUCAAUUAUAAAAUUCUGCCUUUCCAGGCUUUGGUGAAGAUGCUAUCCUGCAUACUGUUGCCCUAUACCAGGUUUAAAUCCCAGCUCCGCUCAAGACUUCGCUCACCAGGAACUUUACAGCAACAACUGGAGGGAGAACAAGAGCUGAACCAGAGGAGGACGCUGUCCAGAGGUCGGAGCGGUGGAUCACAAGAUGAAGGGCUUUCCCCAGAAGACGGCUGCUCAGAACUGUGUGAACUCUGAGUGAAUUCUGUGUCAUUUUAAAGACCUGUUUUCAUCCACUGGCUGUUCUCAGUGUUUACAGUGGAGGGGACACAAAACUGACGAUACAAGUGCUCACAGUCAGGGAGAUUUUCAGCGGUUAAGAGACGUGUCCCUCAUUUAAAACCCAUCAGUUUGGCAGCAGGAGGAGCCGAUAUGGACGCUUCACAGCAGGCUCGUA